rnacentral:rRNA from 1 species
GAUGAACGCUGGCGGCGUGCUUAACACAUGCAAGUCGAACGAAGAACCUCUGUUGUUUUGCUUUGGGAGAGUUUCUAUUGUGAGUGAGAGGCGGAAGGGUGAGUAACGCGAGGGUAAGAUGCCUUGAAGAGGGGGAUGACAGUAGGAAAUGGCAGCUCAUACUGCAUAAGGGCAGGGCAACGCUUGAUGCAGUGUGGAAAAGUCUGGUGGGAUAGGAUGGACGCGCGUUGGAUUAGCGAGUUGGUGAGGUAAAGGCCUACCAAGGCGACGAUGCAUAGCCGAGCUGGGGACCUGACCGACCACAUUGGAGCUAAGACCCAGCCCAAUCUCGUACGCAAGGCAGCAGUGUAGAAUAUUGCACGAUGAACCAAGGCCUAGUGCAGCGACGCCGCGUAUGCGAAGAAGUAGUUCGGUAUGUGAAUCUCUAUCAGAAGAAGAGUUAAUGACGGUACCGGACUAAGAAGCACCGGCUAACUACGUG